rnacentral:rRNA from 1 species
AGCAGCCGCGGUAAUUCCAGCUCCAAUAGCGUAUAUUAAAGUUGCUGCAGUUAAAAAGCUCGUAGUUGAAUUUCGGGACUAAUAUGUCGGUCGUGCCUCGGUACGUACUGGUUUAUUGGUUUUUCCUUUCUGAAGAACCAUGAUGUCAUUUAUUUGGUGUCGUGGGGAAUCAGGACUGUUACUUUGAAAAAAUUAGAGUGUUUAAAGCAGGCUCACGCUUGAAUACAUUAGCAUGGAAUAAUGAAAUAGGACGUUUGAUUCUAUUUUGUUGGUUUCUAGGAUCGACGUAAUGAUUAAUAGGGAUAGUUGGGGGCAUUAGUAUUCAAUUGUCAGAGGUGAAAUUCUUGGAUUUAUUGAAGACUAACUACUGCGAAAGCAUUUGCCAAGGAUGUUUUCAUUAAUCAAGAACGAAAGUUAGGGGAUCGAAGACGAUCAGAUACCGUCGUAGUCUUAACCAUAAACUAUGCCGACUAGGGAUCGGAUGAUGUAAUUUUUAAUGACUCAUUCGGCGCUUUACGGG